GUACUCAAAAAAAUGGCAGCACAUACGCUAAAACUGGACCGAUACAGAGAAGAUUAGCAUGGUCCCUACGCAAGGAUGACACGCAAAUUCGUGAAGCAUUUCAUAUUAAA